CUCAAGGAAGCGCUUUGUCCACGUGGAUAGAAAGUGUGCCCUCAAGGACGCAUUUUUUGUCUACGUGGACAAAGCACUUCCUUGAGG
rfam:Gossypium raimondii Chr06_contig_530, whole genome shotgun sequence.